GAUCAAAGCAACUUUGAUAUAAUGUGGUUUCACCUAUAACACGAUAUUCAGAGGAACUCUUAUUUCUUCAGCUGCAAACAUAAGAUACUUGCCAUCCUGCAGGAAGCUCAAACAUCUGGCUAAUCCUUGUGCCAUGUACGGUUUUCUGCACCUACUGAAGCCAGAUAGCAAAGGCAGAACCCCAAAUACUGAUGGCUCUUGCUUGUUCCACUUCAUGAGUGUUGUUCUUUUUGCAAAUGCAACAAUUAACUAAAUAGAAAGGAAUUCAGACUGCCAAGUUAAUUUUCCUAAUAACUAUACAUAGCUAAGAUUUGCUA